rnacentral:rRNA from 1 species
GACGAACGCUGGCGGCGUGCCUAAUACAUGCAAGUCGAACGCAGUGGGGACGGGUGAGUAACACGUGGGUAACCUCCCAUCAGAGGGGAUAAAACUUGGAAACAGGUGCUAAACCGAUAUGGGUGGAUGGACCCGCGGUGCAUUAGCUAUUUGGUGAGGUAACGGCCCACCAAGGCAACGAUGCAUCGCCGACCGGGGGGGGUGAUCGGCCACACUGGGACUGGGACAGGGCCCAGACUCCUACGGGGGGCAGCAGGAGGAAUCUUCGGCAAUGGGCGAAAGUCUGACCGAGCAACGCCGCGUGAGUGAAGAAGGUUUUCGGAUCGUAAAACUCUGUUGUUAGAGAAGCGGUAUCUAACCAGAAAGCCACGGCUAACUACGUGCCAGCCGCCGCGGUAAUUC